rnacentral:rRNA from 2 species
ACUGGCAGGCUAGAGUCUUGUAGAGGGGGGUAGAAUUCCAGGUGUAGCGGUGAAAUGCGUAGAGAUCUGGAGGAAUACCGGUGGCGAAGGCGGCCCCCUGGACAAAGACUGACGCUCAGGUGCGAAAGCGUGGGGAGCAAACAGGAUUAGAUACCCUGGUAGUCCACGCCGUAAACGAUGUCGAUUUGGAGGUUGUGCCCUUGAGGCGUGGCUUCCGGAGCUAACGCGUUAAAUCGACCGCCUGGGGAGUACGGCCGCAAGGUUAAAACUCAAAUGAAUUGACGGGGGCCCGCACAAGCGGUGGAGCAUGUGGUUUAAUUCGAUGCAACGCGAAGAACCUUACCUGGUCUUGACAUCCACAGAACUUUCCAGAGAUGGAUUGGUGCCUUCGGGAACUGUGAGACAGGUGCUGCAUGGCUGUCGUCAGCUCGUGUUGUGAAAUGUUGGGUUAAGUCCCGCAACGAGCGCAACCCUUAUCCUUUGUUGCCAGCGGUCCGGCCGGGAACUCAAAGGAGACUGCCAGUGAUAAACUGGAGGAAGGUGGGGAUGACGUCAAGUCAUCAUGGCCCUUACGACCAGGGCUACACACGUGCUACAAUGGCAUAUACAAAGAGAAGCGACCUCGCGAGAGCAAGCGGACCUCAUAAAGUAUGUCGUAGUCCGGAUUGGAGUCUGCAACUCGACUCCAUGAAGUCGGAAUCGCUAGUAAUCGUAGAUCAGAAUGCUACGGUGAAUACGUUCCCGGGCCUUGUACACACCGCCCGUCACACCAUGGGAGUGGGUUGCAAAAGAAGUAGGUAGCUUAACCUUCGGGAGGGCGCUUACCACUUUGUGAUUCAUGACUGGGGUGAAGUCGUAACAAGGUAACCGUAGGGGAACCUGCGGUUGGAUCACCUCCUU